UGCGUUUGUUGGUUCUAUAAGCAGUUUGAUUAAGAGGGGUCUCUGGACUCAGUUUUGCCAAACUCCCUGCUAAUUCAAAAAACAAAUACAAGAUAAGAGGUGGCGGGAAACUAUCUUCGUCCUCGGUCAAAAUAAUCUGAAUAAACGCAUAUAUAAUGUGUUGACCUUGUCAAAAGUCUAUAAUUCAUGUAAUUCGGCGCCUUCCAAAACCAUAUGUUAUGAUUAUGUAUGCAAGAUAUGGCGACCUAUGAAAUGACCCGCUUGGUGCAGAUGAAAGAGAACAUUACAUAAAUAAGGCCGUUAGUGCUCUCGUUUGAAUUGUUUUACAUAAUCUUUUCGGGGCCUUUUAUUGUUGACUAUGCAGUAUGGGCUUUGCUCAUUGUUGAAGGCCGUACGGUGACCUAAAGUUGUUAAUUUCUGUGUCAUUUUGGUCUCUUGUGGAGAGUUGUCUCAUUGGCAAUAAUACCACGUCUUCUUUUUUUAUAUCAACUUAUUUUCCGUUCACAUUUUCCGUAAAGAAA
rnacentral:lncRNA from 1 species